GACGAACGCUGGCGGCGUGCUUAACACAUGCAAGUCGAACGGAAAGGCCCCUUUGGGGGUACUCGAGUGGCGAACGGGUGAGUAACACGUGAGUAACCUGCCCUUGACUUCGGGAUAACUUCAGGAAACUGGGGCUAAUACCGGAUAGGAAUCCUUGCUGCAGGGUGGGGGUUGGAAAGCUGCGGCGGUUUUGGAUGGACUCGCGGCUUAGCAGCUUGUUGGUGGGGUAGUGGCUUACCAAGGCUUUGACGGGUAGCCGGCCUGAGAGGGCGACCGGCCACAUUGGGAGUGAGAUACGGCCCAGACUCCUACGGGAGGCAGCAGUGGAGAAUAUUGCACAAUGGGCGGAAGCCUGAUGCAGCAACGCCGCGUGCGGGAUGACGGCCUUCGGGUUGGAAACCGCUUUCAGCAGGGGCGAAGCUUGUGGUGACGGUACCUGCAGAAGAAGCACCGGCUAACUACGUG
rnacentral:rRNA from 1 species